rnacentral:lncRNA from 1 species
AGGCAGAAAACCUAUUUCAGGAACUUCAAGAACAUUUUCAAGCUCUAACUGCAACUCUGAACCUCAGAAAUAUCCUUUCUAUCUUAUAACAAAUACUAUAAUGCUUUUGAACUGUAAUAUUAUCAAGGAAUAUCUUUUGUCUGCUAUUAGUGGAUAAUUGUUGACCUACGAUGUCCUGGUGUUUACAUUGUGCCUUUCCAUGAUAUCCUGGUGUAUUAACUACCACCCACAGGUCAUUACUUCCUGCCUGGCCAGCCAUCAGGGCAUUUUGUAUGAGAGCAAUACGAUACAAGGACGCAAUGCACGAUACUACCCAGUGGGGCUUUCUGAGCCUACAGACUACUAAAUCUGAGUAGUCUGCUGAAUAACAUCUAUGCACUUCCACGGAAUCAGAAACUUGCAAACAUCACAUGGAAUGUCUCCAACCGAGGAUACUAUAUAUGGCUCUCCUGACCUUUGUUUUGUUUGGUUUUGCAACUUCAGCAGCCAUUUUAAGACAUGAAUUCAAACAGAAUUAGAGUAAAAUGUUUGUUUCCAGUUUGAGCAAAUCCAGAUAAGCUGUAAUAUCGGUCCUAAGACUUAGAGCGCUAGAGCUCACUUUACUAAUUGAAUUCGUUCCAUAGAAAUUGUUUAAAAAAGGGGCGCCUGGGUGGCUCAGUCGGUUCAGCAUCCGCUUGAGGCUCAGGUCAUGAUCUCACGUCUGUAGGUUCAAGCCCCCUGUGGGGCUCUGUGCUGACAGCUCGGAGCCUGGAGCCUGCUUCGGAUUCUGUAUCUCCCUCUCUCUCUUUCAAAAAUAAACAUUUUAAAAAAUUAAAAAAGAAAAAAGAACUGAGCUUACAAUUCAGAGGUUAAAGACACACUCCAAAAACCUCAGGGGAAUAGUUAAUUUGCACUGACCUUAAGGUAUUAGUACGCGUAGUCUUUGAAUCCCUCGUUUUAAGUGUUGCACUGCCAGGGCAUUUUAUCAAUAGGCUCGAUGAGUAGCUGCAAUCUGAAGGAUCUCUCAGGACUUUCUGGCUGGUGCUCUGUACCCUGUGUAAAAUUCUCCUUAACGUUGUACUGGAAGAAAUGGGAAAUCGCAUCGAAGAUUUACAGAAGAAUGUGAAUGACUUAAUGGUGCAAGCUGGGAUUGAAAAUUCUAUUAAAGAACAAAUGGUAAGGCCAUUAUUAGGAAACUAAAUAUGUUUGUCUUUUGCAUAUCUUUUGAUUGCUUUCAUCUUGAAAAAUACAAUCCCGUAUUUGUUCACUGUGGGGACUAUUGCCUCUGUACUUCAUGGAAAAUCUUCAGGAAUAAUAAGACAUUUACAAAUGCUCUUUUCUAAAUAGACUAAGAGAAACACUCCUUGUCAUAGUUCCUUAAAAAGUGUACAGUUUAUUUAUUUAAAAAAUUUUUUUUAAUGUUUAUCUAUUCUUGAGAGAUAGAGACAGAGCACAAGCAGGGGACGGGCAAAGAAAGACACAGAACCUGAAGCAGGCUCCAGGCUCGGAGCCGUCAGCACAGAGCCCAACGCAGGGCUCGAACCCACAGACUGCAAGAUCAUGACCUGAGCCGAAGUCAGACACCCAACUGACUGAGUCACCCAGGCGCCCCAAAAAGUGUACAGUUUAUUUAUUUAUUUUUUAAUUUUUUUUUUAACGUUUAUUUAUUUUUGAGACAGAGAGAGACAGAGCAUGAAUGGGGGAGGGUCAGAGAGAGGGAGACACAGAAUCGGAAACAGGCUCCAGGCUCCGAGCUGUCAGCAUAGAGCCCGACGCGGGGCUCAAACUCACAGACCGUGAGAUCGUGACCUGAGCCGAAGUCGGCCGCUCAACUGACUGAGCCACCCAGGCGCCCCAAAAGUGUACAGUUUAAAUGACGAGCUCUACUAUUUAAAAAAUGGAUGUUAUUAAAGUGCUUUUCACAACCACCCCUCAAAUUAGUCUUCUAUCAAAACACAAAUCAUGAUGAAUUGGAGACUGGGGAUUAUGACGUGGUUUCUGUUUCAGACAAUAUAUUUAUAUAACCAUUUGAAGAAGACAUACGGGCGUUAAGCCCUCAACCCGUUUCUCAGUGGUUCGUGGGCCGUCCAUCCUGGCCUCCCACAAUGCAAACCUUUCCAGUGGAAUGUUGCAUUUAAUCUUGAAGAUCCGAGUAAAUGCUUGGCUUCAGGUCUCAGACUGGAUCUGUAUCUAUGUGCUGUAUGUGGAGGUUCACAACUUCAUUAAGAUACUUAUGUCUAUUUUAUUCUGACAGAUAAGAAUAAUAGGUUAUUCUCAUUGAACGAUUAGGUGUCUUUGUUUCCCUUGUUUUACUGUCUCUUUUAUAAUUAUCCUAAGUCAGCUGGCAAAUGAUCCCCACUUAAUCCUGCUAAAUCAGGGCCAGUUCACCUAUCAGCGACUUACAAAUACCCACAUCUCGUAUCCUGGUAACAAAGGUAAUCGUAACCUGCGUCCCGCUGCCACCGUAAAACGCUGCAGAGGACGCUCUGUCUCUGAGGUGAAGACAUAGCUUCAAUCAGGCUCCCUCGACGGGGCCCACCAGUCCUGAGGCGGGGCGAGCAAGCCCUCCCCCGCCCCCCUGCAGGGCUGACUGAGUGAGAAGAGGAGAGCCUCAGGGCAGGAAGCCCUGUGCCCAGAAGAGAUCUGGCACACUGCAGGCAUGGGAUGGCAGCCAGGUGACCAGGUCCCUGCCCUCCAUCACUCAGAUCUAGCUGCUGUUUUAAAUUUGGUCGAAACCACUAAAUAUUAGGCAUCAAGUUAAGUGAUCAAGUAGGUGUGGAAACCUCACUACGUGAUGUGCACGCAGCCUGAGAGAAGGUCAGACCUCCAAGUGUGUUUAAAAGUGGUACUGCCUUCUAAAUGAAAAGACCUAAACAAACUGAGAUGUUUGCACAAAUCUGUACUUGUUGGUUGUGCUUGGUCGCACUAGGUCAGGGUUAACACAGGGCUGGCUUGUGCUGUAAAUCUCAGGGGAUUGUGCACACCCCUCAAACCUGUGUUCCAGUUGUGGGGAACCCAAGAUGUUAAAAACUACUGUUCUAUAUUCCGAUAGAUCUGGUACUUUGUCCGUCUCCCCAUUAAAUGACGUUGUAACACCUUUCCCGCAAUUACUUAGGCACAGAUAGGCGGUGAGUGUGUGGGUGGAGGGAGCAGGGCGCUUCCCUCUGGGGUACUGUGUGCUCAGUCACCGCGGUGGAAUACUGAUGCAGGAGUCACGUUUCGGUAAGAGAACGUGCCGUUUAUUCACCUGCAGUUGUGAACCCACACUGACUCCAUCCAUCAAACAUGAAAAAUUUGUGGUUUUCUAUACACUCAAUUUUUCCUAUCCACAAAAUGUUUUAAUAAUUAAGGGAAAUUGGGGCACCUGGGUGGCUCAGUCAGUUGAGCCCCUGACUUCGGCUCAGGUCACGAUCUCACAGUUAGUUUGAGCCCCAUGCGGGUCUCUGUGCUGACAGCUCAGAGCCUGGAGCCUGCUUCGGAUUCUGUGUCUCCCUCUCUGUCUGCCUCUCCCCUACUUGUGCUCUCUCUGUCUCUCUCUCUGUUUCUCUCUCUCAAAAAUAAAUAAACAUUAAAAUUUUUUUUUUAAUUACAGGAAAUUAAGGUAUUUUACUGAAAGCUUUGGAUUCCAGGUUAUUUAACUGUGCAUUAAUUGGUAUAUAAAUCAACCAUUACCUCUUUCAAAUUUUUUCUUACAGACCUGAAGACUUGAAAAUAUGAUAAAGUCAAAGUUGUACUUUUUGAAUGACAAUUUGCAUAGUAUGUGUUCUGGUUUUUACUAUUUAAUUUAAAAAUUCAUUUUAAUGAAGUGAAAGAUUAAAAGAACAAUGCAAUAAGAACAUAGUUUAGAAGGUGAUUAACCACUUGACCCAGAUGGUUCUAAAAUGGCAGAACAUCUUUCAACGCAUACCUAGUAUUUACAAGUCAUGGGAGGGAAGCUUAAGCUAUAUCAGGUCAGCUCUUUUUCCUGAAUUAAGUUCUAGAUAGAUCUUUUUAAAAAAUCAUAAGCUGUUUUGUGACUGAGAUUUCUUUUUCAAUACCUGCAUUCCAACUCAGCUUUUCCAGUCAUAUGGUUCUCUGGCUGGUCCAAACACAUUCUGAUAGCAAUGUUCUCCAAACCAAACAAAACCCCGGAAAACAGCCCGCCUCGUCCCAGGCCACCCUUGCCCAGUCUGCUCCUAAGGAGGAGGUCACCAAGAAGAAGCACAAAGAUCACAGUUCAGCUUCUUCUGUAGGUUAUAUAGAGACGUUUUCAAAUAAUUAUCCAAUUUGCCUCUCUGAGCCAAAGUAAAGCAGAACAGGGUCGGUAAUAGGCUCUCAUUGUAAAAAUAACACGAUUCCUGCAUAUGAGAUAGAUUUUAUUCUUCAUACAAAAGUCAAAACCACCCAUAAUUCUACAAUUUAAAUUGAAUUAGCCACUUAAACAUUUUUCUGUACAUACAAUUCUAUAUAUGGUUGAUGAUGAUGUUUAUAAUCUCAUAUCCUGUUCUCUUCAUAUCAUAAACAUUUUUCCAUCUGAAAAUUUCACACACUUCUUAUAUUUUUUUUUAUGGCUGACUACUAUUCUAUCAUAUGGAUGUAAUAAUUUAACCAUUUCCUUGACUGUUCCUUGGACAUUGACGGUAUUUCCCACCAUCUUGCUACUAUAAAUAAUGCUGUAAGGAACACUGUUACCAUGAAUUCUCUGCAUGUUUCAUUAGGGUCAGAAGUGUGACUGAAGACCGAGUACAUUAGUCAAAUGCAUUUAAGAAAUGAAGCAUCAUUUUAUACUCCCAACAGUGGUGUAUGUCUUUCCUUUUUUAAUCCAAAGUUUUAAAAUGGCAUCAUUUAUAUUCAGUAUUCUGGGGCGCCUGGGUGGCUGUCGGUUAAGCGUCCGACUUCAGCUCAGGUCAUGAUCUCACGGUUCGUGGGUUUGAGCCCCACGUCGGGCUCUGUGCUGACAGCUCAGAGCCUGGAGCCCAUUUCAGAUUCUAUGUCUCCUUCUCUCUCUGCCCCUCCCCACUCGCGCUCUGUCUCCCUCUGUCUCAAAAAUAAAUAAACAUUUAAAAAAAAUUUUUAAUUGAGUAUUCUUGGGGACUUAAAAUCAUGAUAGUUCUAUUGGAUUAUGUGAAAAAUCUCAAAGCAUUUUAGCUGCUAUUAUAAUUUUAGCAGAAACUAAAGUAUAUAUUUGAAGUAAACCAAACAGAUUUGAGUCCUCAUUAAUAACAUAGAUCACAAUUCAAAAUCCAGGAUUUUUAAGAGAUUAAAGUAGGUAGAAAAGAAAACUUCUGUUAGUUAUUAACUAAAUAAAAACACUAGGGGCACCUGACUGGCUCAGUUGGUGAAGCGUGUGACUCUUGACCUCGAGGUCGUGAGUUCAAGCUCUACAUUGGGCAUGGAGCCUACUUAAAAAAUAAAAUAAAAACAGUAAUACUGUCCAAAAAAUACUAACUUCUUUGUGGAUCCUCUUUAACAGUCUGACAUUAAACAUCUCAAUGACUCAUUCAAACCUUUAGAGAGAUUAUUUGACAUUUUAGAAAAUCAUACCUGUUUCAACAUGUUCCUAACAUUUUUAUAAAGGAUUGCUAUUCUCCAGCACCCUGUUACAUAUAUUUAAAAGAAAUCAAAUGCUUCCAUAAGGAGAAAGGGGGACGUAGCACAUGGGUUUACACGUGCUUAACCAUGCUUAUUCCAAUCUAAACUUGAUUGAUACGGAACUUCAGUAGCAAGCAGUUUAUUCAGAGAAUACUUAAGUGAAAUGUUGCGAAUUCAGUAUCAAAUGCUAUAUUCAUAUACUUGCAAUUUAAAACUCAUUUAACACAAAAUUUUUGAACUUAUGAGAACACCAAGCUUAAUAACAAAGGGCUAACUUUGUAAGGCAGCAUUUCCGGAUGCAAUUGUCUGAAGGUUUAAUUCUCACAUUUAAUUUCCUUUUUGUUUUUUAAAGUUUAUUUACUUAUUUUUGAGAGAGAGAAAGCACAAGUGGGGGAGGGGCAGAGAGGGAGGAAGAGAGACAAUCCCAAGCAGGCUCUCUGCUGUCAGCACUGAGGUGGAUUCAGGGCUCAAACACACAAACCAUGUGAUCAUGACCUGACCCAAAGUCAGAAGCUGAACUCACCGAGCCACCCAGGCGCCCCUAAUUUCCUUUCUUUACAACUAUGGUCUCUUGCCUGACCUAUCACCAUAGACUUUUUUAAAAUAUAUUUUUAAAAUUUUUAUUUAUUUUUGAGAGAUAGAGCAGAGUCGGGGAGGGGCAGAGAGAGGGAAACACAGAAUCUGAAGCAGGCUCCAGGCUCUGAGCUGUCAGCACAGAGCCGGAUGCGGGGCCUGAACCCACGAACUGUGAGAUCAUGACCUGAGCUGAAGUUGGACGCUUAACCGACUGAGCUACCCAGGCGCCCCUAAAUAUUUUUUAAAAUGUUUAUAUUUGAGAGAGAGCACAGAAGGGGGGGAGACAGAGGGACUCAGAGGAUCUGAAAAAGGCUCUGUCUCUCUCAAAAAUAAACAGACAUUAAAACAAAUUAAAAAAAAGAAAAGAAACCUGGUGAGGCCACGAACACAUCCUAUAUUUUAACUGAGCAGCUUGAGAAACGACAUUUAGGGUGCAGAUUUUAGAAAUAUCAGUGGUGUGGUUUUAGAGUAGUUGUAGCUUUGAUUUUGUCAGUGCUCUGAGCAACUCCUCUCUCCUCUGCAUAGGAUCAGAAGUUAGAAAAAGGCAGUCUAGGGACCCACACGUAACAAUCUACCGCAAACACACAAGGUUGCCGGUUGUUUUAAUGUUUCGGAUCUUUGUUUGGAAUGUCUGAGGACUGUAUGUAAAUGACAUCAUACCAUAGUAUCCUGCGCCCAGCUUCUCCAGUCAGUAGUUUCAAAUUCAUCUAUGUUGAUGUGUGUAGCUCUACUUGAGUCACUAACUGCUGUGUAAUAGCCUUCUGAAUUGUUUUGCACUGGACUAAUACUGUUUCCAAAUUAUACUGCAAUAAACACUCUGGCGUAUCUCCUCUGUGUCGGUUUCCCUGGGGUACUUGAUUACUUACUGGGUCCCUGAAUAUAUUCUGUACCUUCUAGGCUUGUUGCCUCUGUGUCAGCUGCCACGACUAAUUCCUGGACUUUGCACAAAAGCCAUCCUGGGGAGGAUGGGAAACAGAAAUCAUUCAGAUUCAGAGAACCAAGGGUACUGGUAUACUUUCUGCACUAGCUAAUUUCAACUUGAAUAAAACAACCUGGUGCAGUGAUGAGGCACGUUUCGGUAGCCAUGCAGAUCUAGGUUUGAAUUCACGCCCUGUGUAAGGAGUUGUAACUUUGGGCAACCUAAGCUUUAAUUUCCUUCUCUACAAACUAUCCACCUCGCAGGUGGUUGGCAAAUGGUUUGCAAAUCACUUAGUUCUGGGCAAGGUAAACAGUAGGUACAUAAUGAUAAGAUAUAAACUUGGAAUGAAGAGGCCAAACUAUUAUAAAUUCAACUAUAUUGCAGUCACAAAGCACUUCCAGUGAAAAAGAUAGUUAUUAAAGUCAAAUGUGAAUGAACUUAUUACAACUUAUAAAUACAAGUUUACAGCAAGUACAGAGUAAGUUUACAAAUGUGGAGUGUAAUUUUUUUGCUUAUUUUUUUGUUAAUAGCAAUAAAGCUUUAUCAAUAAGACAUAAUUCACAUGUUAUGCAAUUCACCCAGUCAACACACACACUUCAUUGGUUUUGGUAUAUUCACAGAUGUGUACAAACAUCACAGUUUUAAAUUUUUUUUUUCAACGUUUAUUUAUUUUUGGGACAGAGAGAGACAGAGCAUGAACGGGGGAGGGGCAGAGAGAGAGGGAGACACAGAAUCGGAAACAGGCUCCAGGCUCUGAGCCAUCAGCCCAGAGCCCGACGCGGGGCUCGAACUCACGGACCGCGAGAUCGUGACCUGGCUGAAGUCGGACGCUCAACCGACUGCGCCACCCAGGCGCCCCCAAACAUCACAGUUUUAGAACGCUUUCAUCAUCUCAAGAAGAAACCCCAUUCCCAUUAGCUACCACCGCACCCCCUCCCCUCCUCCUAGUCUCAAGCAACCACUAAUCUACUCUCUGUCCCUACGCCUAGUCUGGAUAUUUCCUAUGAAUGGGAUCACACAAUAUGUAGCAUCUAGCCUCUUUCCCUUACCCUGACGUUUUCAGGGUUCACCAUGUUGUAGCCCACAUCAGUAGUUUACUUGUGACCAACUAAUACUCCAUUGCAUGGCUGUGCCAUAUUUUGUCUAUCCAUUCUUCAGUUGAUGGCCACACAAGUUGUUUCCCCAUUUUGGCGAUCAUGAAUAACGCUGCCACCAAUGUUCUGUCCAAGGUCCUGUGUGGACAUACGUGUUCGUUCUCUUGGGCAUAUAGUCAAGACUGAUAUUUCUGGGUCAAAUGGUAAUUCCCGAUUUUAUUGGGGAACUGUCAAACUGGUUUCCAAAGUGGCUGCAGCGUUCCACCUCUCCACCAGCAGUGCACGAGGGCUCCAACGCCUCCAUGUCCUUGACCUUGAAUCUACUCGUCCUUGACCACACAUGUAGUAAUCUGACCCUUUGAAUCUACUCACAGCCAUCCUAGUGGGCGUGAAGUGGCAUCUCCUGGCUUUGAUUUGCAUUUCCUUGAUGAGUAAUGACAGCGAGCUCUUCCUAGGAUUGUUGGCUGUUCUAUCUUGGAUACACGUCCGAAGUAGAAUACUGUCUAUUAUGUCAGGUACUUGGGGUUGUGCUGAUGUUCCCAAUAGCCCCUCGUUUGAUAUGGGAUCAUACACCCUAUUCUGCAAAUGGGCAGGUUUAGGCUGGAGGAAUGAAGCUGAGGAUUUGCAUUUGAGUUUUGUUUUUUUUUUAAUUUUUUUUUUCAACGUUUAUUUAUUUUUGGGACAGAGAGAGACAGAGCAUGAACGGGGGAGGGGCAGAGAGAGAGGGAGACACAGAAUCGGAAACAGGCCCCAGGCUCUGAGCCAUCAGCCCAGAGCCUGACGCGGGGCUCGAACUCACGGACCGCGAGAUCGUGACCUGGCUGAAGUCGGACGCUUAACCGACUGCGCCACCCACGCGCCGCUGCAUUUGAGUUUUAAAUCCAUUUAAAGCACACCUCCUUUGUACUUGUGUUCCAACCACAGUCAAUCUGGUCACAGCAGUGAGGGCCCAGCAGGCACCAUCCAAAGACACUAUUCCAAGACAUGGGACAGCAGACACUACCACCCCCACACUCCAGAGACAACGAACAGAGCUCCAGGAGGCCACUUGCCACAGUACGCGGCAGAGCCUGGCGGUGAAACCAGACAGGGCUGCAGGGUGUGGCCCCGGCUCCCCACAAGAUGUUCCUGGGAAGAUCCUAACCACCCACCCAUCAACAUGCUGCUGGGGUGAGAGACACUCAACACUGUGAUAAGGAAACCAGCUGCAUGUACUGAAGAGCUGUGGUUUCUACAGAAAAUACAGCCUGCUUAAGUUCGUUAGAUACGAUGUUUGGAGGAAUAAGAAACGACUUCUUGGGGCGCCUGGGUGGCUCAGUCGGUUGGGCGUCCGACUUCGGCUCAGGUCAUG